CCGCGGGCUGGACGGCUCUGCGGAACCGCCCGUAGUUGCGGUUAUCCGUCAGAUCGAACGGGUUAACCGCGUUCUCUUCCCAGUUCGCGUCGCGGCGGAACCGCCCGUAGUUGUUGUUGUCCGCAAGGUCGAACGGGUUGAACGCCUUCUCUUCCCAGUUGGCGUCGCGGCGGAAUCGACCGAAGUUGUUGUUGUCCGCGAGCGAAAACGGGUUCUUCCAGUCGAAACCCGACACGGGGGCCAUGUCUUCGGCGGCGGCGACGUCGGUCUCUUUCGCGCCGCGGCGGAACCGUCCGUAGUUGUUGUUGUUCUCGAGGUCGAACGGGUUGAACGCCUUCUCUUCCCAGUCCGCGUCGCGGCGGAACCGUCCGAAGUUGUUGUUGUCCGCGAGCGAGAACGGGUUCUUCAGAACGAAACCCGACACGGGGGCCAUGUCUUUGGCGGCGGUUUGCGGCUUCUCGCGGCGGAACCGCCCGACGUUCGCCUUCUGCGUCACCUGCCUCAGCGCCGCCGGGUCGCCUUUAACGAACCCGUCGUGCGAAAACUCGAGGCGCGCGUCGUCGUCGUUGCCGAGCUUGUGGAACCCGUAAUUGUUCAGCUCACGCUUGAAUCCGUUGAUGUUGACGCGCGCGGGGAACACCGGGAGGACGCCGACGAGCUUCUUCUCGAACGCUUUCGCGUCCUUGACGACGAAGGAUUUGCCGUCUUUGUUCCAGGAGACGACGUCGGACGCGGACGGGUCGCUCACGAGCGUGUGAAGCUUCCUGCGACGGCGACGGAAAGAUGUUUCGGAGGGUGAGAAAAAAAAAACACGUGGUCGUCGACGUGCCUGUCGACGUCAACGGGUUGCCUAGGCGCCAGAGACGCCGCGGACGCGCGCGUUCGCGACGGAUAUCGUCGCCGAGCGCGUCGAGUCGCGAGCGGCGCGCGCGAUUCGACGAACGCCGCGUCGCGCGCGACGCGCGCGACGCGCGCGCGAGGCGUCGCGCGCGCCGAAAGUCGCGUCCGACUGCCGACGGCGCCGAGCGACGCGUCUACGUCAUCGGCCCGGUUGCCCAGGUGCCAAAGACGCCGCGGAGGCGCGAGUUCGCGACGGAUAUCGUCGCCGCGCGCGUCCCAUCGCGAGCGACGCGCGCGAUUCGACGAACGCCGCGCCGCGAGCGACGCGAGCGACGCGCGCGCGCGGCGUCGCGCGCGCAGAAAGUCGCGCGCGAUCGCGAAAGACGCGACGUUUCGACGGCACGGGCCGGGCACGUAAGUUAGUGCGGGGAGAAUCGAGGAUCGAGGGGGAGCGCGCACAUUAUGAACGGCGACACCUUGACGCGAUCGAACGCGUAAGGGUUGCACGAAGGGCGGCGAGCGUGAAGGUGCGUGGGGGCCAUCGUUUGUGGAGUGUCGUGUGCGUGCGUGAGGUGGUCGGGCGUGCUGUAGUGCGCGAUGGGUGCGUGUGUUUUCAGGACUUAAACGUCCCGCGAAAAUUGAAACGCCGAGACUUCGCGCCAAGUUUACGAAAGGGCACGGUGCUGAAAGGUGCCCACGAACCGUCGCGAAAAAAUCGUAUGCGCGUCAGUCUGAAAUUAAUACGUGCCUUCGCCGUUCGCGUGCCUCCCACGAAUUCAAGGCGCCGUCCACGGUGGCAAGCACGCCGUGCCGUUACUCUCCCGACGACACUUAUCCGCGCGCGCGUGCCCGCACAGACACGCACACGCACACACUCCGCGAUGGCCGUCUUCCUCGCCGCUCCCGCGUCGCGCGCGUGCGCGACGCGACGAGUCCUCGCGCGAAGCGCGUCCGCGACGGCGACGCGCGCGCGCGCGGCGCCGCGCGUCGCCGCGCGUCGCGAAGUGAGAUCGUCGUCGUCCGCGAGCGCGCGCGGCACCGCAGAUCUUCUCGGGUUCGGGUUCGCGCGCGCGGCGUCCGCCGGACGCGUCGCGCGCUCGUCCGCCGCGGAGACCUCCGGCGACGCGGAGACCUCCGGCGUCGUCCUCCUCGACCCUCCUCCCGCGCCCGCGCCCGUGCCCGCGCCCGCGGCGGCGCCGGCGGCGACGACGACGACGCCGCCCGUCGACGCGUCGCAAACGUCGCUUCGACGCGUCGCGCGACACGUCCACCGCGAGGCGGAGUACGUCUUCGUUCGAUUCUCGCUCCUCGCGACCGGCGCGUUCGUCCUCAUCGGCGUCUGCGCGUCGCUCGCGCUGUCCGCGCUGCUGUUCAGCAUGGGCGUCAAGGAGGUGCUCUACGAAGCCGUGGGCGCGUGGAUGCAAUUCUCGCCGGUGGGGCUCGGUGCGUUCUAUCUCACACUGGUUCCCAUACGACCGCGUCGGCGUGGUGAACGCCGUUCCUUAAGGACUUUUCCCGGCGUCUCUCUCCGCCCAGGGUCCCUCGCUUUCAAUACCCGACCGCGACGCCUUUCAACUAUUACUGACGCCUUUCAACUCCACCCCGACGUCGCGAGAAUAGUCACCGCCGCCGUCGGCGCGCUCGACCGCUUCCUCCUCGGCAUGGUCUGCCUCGUCUUCGGCCUCGGAAGCUUCGAGCUGUUCUUAGCGCGAAGCUCGAGGAAGGAAGAGCAGCAGCUCGCGAAGCGCGUGAACAAGCCGCUGUGGCUGAGAGUGCGGAGCAUAGACGACUUGGAGCACAAGGUUGGCGAGAUCAUCGUCGCGGUGAUGGUCGUCAACCUGCUCGAGAUGUCGCUGCACAUGACGUACUCCAAGCCCGUGGAUUUGGUGUGGGCCGCGCUCGCGGCGUUGGCGUCCGCGGGCGCGCUCGCGCUCCUGCACUGGAGCUCGGAGAAUCACUGCGGGAAGGACGACGACGCGCCCUGCGCGGUGCACUGAGUCGUCCUCUCGCCGCCGUUUGUAGACGCGUGCGCGCGUUCGUUUGUAAUUUCAAUUUUCAAGUCUACCGAAAAAACCGUUUUGCGUUUGCUGCUAUUUUAGGCUACUACUCCUCGUGAGCACCUCACGCGUCCGCGGCGAGGAGGUGCGGUCUGGCGCACUUCAACACGAUGACACGCCCUGCGCGGUGCACUGAGUCGUCCUCUCGCCGCGAGAGCAUCGAAUCGUAUGCGGCGGCGGCGGCUACGCGCUCCUGUUACGAAAGUACUCCUGAAUGUGCUCGCGGACCAGCGCGGCCGCGGCGGCGACUUGCUCGGGGGCGCCCUCGAUGACGCAGACGCCCUGCGAGUCGUUCAACACGCGAAUGGACGCGCCCGUGCGCUCGCGCAACGAGCGGAUGUUGUUACCGCCCUUUCCGAUGAGCCGCGACUCCGCGCCGGCACACGGGAUGGUCUCCCUCGCGACGCCGACGACGGAGCCGGCGGCCGCGCGGUCCGCCCCAGGCGGGGCGCCCAUCACCGCGACCUGCGAGAUGAUCUCGCGAAUGGCAGCGGCGGCGCCCUGCGCGCCGGGUCCGAUGACCUCCGUGACGCCGUGCCCGCGCUUGAGUUGGAUGCACACGCCGAACCUAUCCUGCAAGUCGCGGAUCGUCCCGCCGCCGUGGCCGAUGAUCAUUCCCUCGUGCCCCGCGGUGCCCUCGACGAUGACGACGUCGUUCGCCCCGCCGCCCGCGGCGGCGGCGGAUUGCGCCGCCGCCGCCGCGGGUUCCGCGCCCGCCGGCGCGCCGCGCGCCGGCUGCUUCGCCGGGCGCUCGUCUUCACCUGGUCCCGCGUUCCCGCGCUCUCCCUCUUCCGCGUACGCCGUGUACUUCGCCGCGCUGCCGCGGCACCGAUCCGCGGGGUACUUGGCCGCGUUCUUCGCCAUCUUCGCGCGCGUCGCCGCCGCGAGGUCGACGCCGCACCGAUCCGCGAGGCGCACCAAGUACAGCUGCACGUCCGCGAGCUCGUCCUCGAGCCGCGCUCUGUCCUCGCGCGACCAGCUCGGCAGCCCCGUCGCGCAGUCGUCGUCGCCGCGCCACUGGAACAGCUCCGACACCUCGCCGACCUCGCCGACCAUGGCGAGGAGGACGUUGCGAGGCGAGUGGAACUGAUCCCAGUCGCGCGCGCGCGCGAACGACGCCUGUUCGCGCCUCAGAUCCUCCAGCGUGACGCGCGCGUCGAAGCCGCCGAACGCGGGAGGCGACGGUCGCGCGGCGGCGUCGGCGUCGGCGUCGGCGUCGAACCGCGCGCUGAGCGUCGCGUCGCUUCGGGAUUCGGAGAGCGUCGUCGUCUUGGAACGCAGUUCGAUCGGUUUGUUUCGGCUCUUGUUCACGCGGAUCGGCGGAGGGACGUGCGGCGCGGGAUCGUCGACGUUCCUCGGCGCGUCCGCGUGGCCGUUGCUCCUGACGUCGAAUAUCAUCUUCAUGUGUUUCACGCCGGCGGCGAGGAGGAUGUCGGGGCAUUCCUUCGCGAGAGCGUCCACUUUGCUUCCGGCGCCGUACCAGUCGUGGAGGGUAAGCUUCGACUCGGGGUGCGUUCGGUACAACUCGGAGAUCACGAGGCUCGCGAGCGUGCCGCACGAGCCGGUCAUGUCCGCGAUGGCGUUCGCGUAAUACCGCGGAUCAAUAUAUCGCGGAGGAAUAUUCUCGUACCCUUUAGCCAUCGUGGCUCACCUCUCUCGCGCGCGGGAGUGUUCGCCCGUGCCUCAGAUCUGGAAAAGCGGGUGCCAAAAAAUACUGUAUUUUUAGUAACAGGCUCGCGCCGCGCGUGCGCCACCGUCCUCCUAUCGCAUCGUCCAUCCACCGUGCCUUGAUCCAUCACAUCGCCCUGUACGCCGCCAGGACGUCCUCCACGCGCCCGAACGCCUCGUCGAACUCGCCCUCGCCGACGCCGUGCUCCGCGUACUGAUGCAGAUACGCGCCCGCGUGCUUCAUCUGAGGGCCGUUCCAUACGAAACAGAUGGUUCAUCGGUCAGUUGAAAGGUGGCGCGAUCAAAUGUUGAAACCGAGCGGUGGGUGAAAAACGUUUUUUUUUAACCUGAUACGCCCUCGCGAGCAUCCGCCCGAUCGGCGGACACGCGCUCUGGCAGUUGCUCAGCAGCGUCAACGACGCGUCGUACCCGCAGAAUCGCGCCCCAGAGUGCGAUACAGACAGCGGCGACGGCGUCCACGUUGGGAACAGCCGCGGGUCGGACAACGCGCCGACGUCCGCGUCCUCCGCGCCCUUCCCUCUUAGAAACGCCAUCGCGGCGAGGCACCUCGUGACGACGCGCCCGCCGCCGUCGCCGCCGGGCUCCACCCCCCAGUCUAACCCUUCCUCCAACGUCGUCCCCGUGAGUAACAUCUGCCGCGCGCGCUUGAUCAGCCCGGGCCACGCGAACGUCGUGAAGUCCACGCUCGUCUGCGGCAUCAUCGGCACGGACCGCAGCGACAGAAGACGCAUCGUCGGGUCGCAGCACGCCCCGCGCGAAACGUCGUGGAGCAGCAUCAGCUUCCGUCCGCAUCCCGCGCCGCCCGCGGGUGUUACACCCCUCGCGACGCUCGGGAGUAACACCCCCGCGAGCUGCGUCGCGGCGACGCCGUUCAUGUCGUCGAACGUCGGCCGCUUAAUCUUCAGCGCGCCGACACACGCGCGAUGGAGCUGUUCGUUUUGCACGACGCACACGCCGUCCGACACGUUCAGCAGCGUCGAUAACGUCAACAGCGUGUUGUAGCACUGCACGAUGACCUCGCCGCUCUCGUACGGCCACACGCAGUGGUUCAGGAUCGUCGCGCCGCGGUGCUCGUCGCGGAUCGCCUCGGCGACGAACGCGCCGAGGCCGGCGCCGGUGCCGCCCGCGAGCGACUGCGUCAGGAGGAAUCCGCCGAGGUGGUCGCAUCGCUCCGCCUCGCGUCGAACGAGCUCCAGGGCUUCGUCGCGCACGAGGCCGCCGUAGGUGUUGUACCCGCGCGCCCAGUUGUUCCCGCUGCCGCUCUGGAACGCGAGCGCGCUGUUCGCGUCGUACCGCCAUCUGUGCGACGAGCGCCGCGCGCGCUUGAGCGACGACGCGAUGACUUUCGGUUCCAUGUCGAUCAACACCGCGCGCGCGGUGGGGGAGGAGGAGGAGGAGGAGGAGGAGGACGGCCUCGCCGCGCCGUCGCCGCUGCGGAAGAACGCCUGCGUGCGUGCGGUGGAAGAGAGAGAGAGAACGAGUGCGAGAGGUGAGAUGCGCGAGCGCGGGGGAUGGACGCGGAGGAGGAGAGCGCGGCGCCCGCGGGCGAGGAGAGAAGUCGGCAUCUUCUCUCUCGAGAGUGAGAGAGAGACGACGCGCGCGCGCACCUCGUGAAUCUCGUCGCGGACGCUCGGCGACGACGCCGCCGCCUCCCUCGCGAGCGUGUCGAACAGCUCGCAUCCGACCUGGUUUCCGCACUGCCCGAGCUGCACGGUCACGACCGAGCCGGGCAUCGUCCUCCGCCGCGACCCGUCCUCGACGCGCCGUCUGUGUGGUCGCGCCGCGGUUCAAACUCUGUCGUCCUCGACUCGUCGCUGAUGAAGGCGAGGUGCCGCGUCGUGCUGGCAUAUCGACCGACCAUUGAUCGAGGAGGGGUUCCGAUCAAAAAGUGCUGAAAGGGUUUUUUUAUCGCAAGAACCGAUCAAAAGCUGAACGCAGGUGAAAGAAAAUCCACCUUCUGGUCAGCGCUUCGUAGGAACGCGCCUCUCAUCACUCGUCGAUCGCGCCCCGACGCUCCGCCGCGCUCAUGGUGGACCCGACGCACGAGUACAACCACGACACGUGCCCCGCGUGCGCCGGCCACGGCCAGGUCGCGACGAGCGACGGCUUCGCCGCGUGCGCGUCGUGCAGCGGCAGAGGCGCGUGGGCCCCGCCCGCGUCGUGCUGCGCCGCGCACGACAAGGGCGGUAAUAAAGGAGGAUGCGAGACCGGGCACGGCGCGAGCGACGCGAAGCCCAAGCCGCGGCUGCGGUCGCACGGCGCGUUACCCGCGGCGAACAUGCGCGAGCUCCUGACGCGCGUCGACCUGGAGGACGAGGACGGGAACCUUCUCGACGCGGCGAGCGCGUUCGAGGGGAAAGUCGUCGCGCUCUACUUCUCGUCCGCGACGUGCCCGGCGUGCGCGAGCUUCACGCCGAAGCUCGCGCGGCUCGCGACGGAUCACGCGCGCGACCUCGUCGUCGUGUACGUCGGCGGCGAUCGCACGGAGGCGCAGGCGGAGGGGCCGCACACGCGGGGGCGCGGGUUCCUGCGCGUGCCGUGGCGAUCGGUGCAUCGCGAGGUGUUGCUUCAAUCCUACCGCGUGUUCGCGAUACCGCAGGUGGUGGUCUAUCACCCCGUGCGGCAGAAGACGGUGACGACGUGGGGGCACACCGCGAUCAGGCGCGUUCUGUUCUUCUGUGCCGCGCUCGCCGGUCCUCGAGGACUUUAUUACUUCCCGGCUCGCCGGUCCUCGAGGACUUUAUUACUUCCCGGCUUCGUUUUCUCUCCGCGCAUGCACCCCUCGGUUUCGAUCCCGACGCACACGCCUCGGCGCCUCACGACUCCACCAUUCACGAUUCAUUCACGACAUUCACCUCACGACUCCACCGUUCUGACGCGCCCCCGAACUCCACCCCGACCUCGUCGCUUCGUACUAUGGACCCUCCCUGACCCUCAGCGUGAACCCGGGGAAGUGCGUCAGCGCGUGGAAGAGAGGAGAGACCGGUUACUCGUUGCUGGAGAUGCUCACGCCGAGCUCGUGUUCCGGCGCGUACGACGGCGUGCCCAGCGUCGUCUCCUCGCAGUCGACCGGAUACGCGAAGUGAUAUACUUUAACAUAUGAUACUAUGAUAUAUGUUAUACUAUAUGAUAUAUGUUAUGAUAGUUACCCUCUCGCGUACGUCCCCGGGGCGUCGUCCCGCGGCGGGUUCGCCUCCGUCGGCGACCCGUCGAUCUGCCGAAUGGCUUCGUACACGCCGACGCCCGCGCUCACCGCCAGGUUUAAACUCCGGACGUGGUCCUCGUCUAUGGGUAUCCGGCGUAUGCCCCCGCUCCGCGCGCACGCGUCGUGCGCCUCGUCCGGUAACCCCGUGGUCUCCGCGCCGAAGAGGAGCCAAUCGCCGGGGAGGUACGCGCCCUCUUCCGCGUGCGGCCGGGCGCCGAAUUUGCUGAGGGUCGAGGUCGGGGUGGAGUUCAAAGGCGUCAGGGGUGGAGUUGAAAGGCGUCGAGGUGUGUCGGGAUCGAAAGCAGCGAGGGGGUGGGCGGAGAGAGACGAACGCCGGGAGAGAAAGUCCUCAAGGAAUCGCAUGCACCGCGCCGACGCGGUCGUAUGGGGACCAGCGUGAUGGACACAGAACGCGCCUGAACGCGACCAGACGACCGGGGGCCCCGAGGUCGACGGACCAGUACGCGUAGAACGCGUCCCAGUCGUCGUGCACGCGCACGCACACGCUGUGCCUGCGACGGGCGGGAGGAGAUGGACGAUGAGCGGGAUGGACGGAGGGGCGCGACGGCGACGGGGAGGGGGGAGCGCGUAUCGAUCGAUAGAUCAAUCGGUCGAUCGGUCGGUCUAUCGAUCGGUCGAACGCACCAGUAGUCGAGCCCCGCGCGCUUGAGCUGGCUGUCCUCUAACGUGAACCCUAACGGCCCGACUAAGUGCAGCGGCACGCGCGACGCCGCGCACGUCCGCGCGAUCGUCCCGGUGUUCCCCGGGAUCUGCGGCGAGACGAGCACGACCGCGAGGUCCGCGCGCUGAUUUUCCGCCGCGAGCUCGACGCCGUCGCGGCUCUUUCCGGCGAAGAGGUUCGCCGCGCCGCUCCCGCUCGACGCGCGCGGCGUCGUCGCGUUCGCAUCGCGCGGCGCGGGAGUCGCGCGGUGACGCUUCGCGAGGAGCGCGUUGAACGCGCGCGGGAGGACGAGGUACGGCAUCGCGCGCGGCGUGCGGUGCGGUGCGCUCGCUCAUUCAUACACCGUUGCCCUAAGCUCACGAAACCCCCGAGACUCGACUCGUCCGCGUCCGCCAGCUGUACAACGUUGUACUCAUACUCCGCUCGCUCACGGCGUCCGCGGCGGGGUCUUCGGCCGCGCCGUCGCCGGUCUCGGGCUCGCCAUCGCCGCGAGCGCCGCCCUCGCGGCCCUUUCCGCGAUGCUCCUCCCUCUCCCCGGCGGCGCGACGGUCGAGCUCUGGUCUUCCCGUCCCCCCUCGCCGCGUCGCCGUCGCGCCCACGCCGCCGCCGCCGCUUUCUUCACCGAACCGCCCCCUCCCCCGCCGCCGCCGUCGCCCUCCGCGUUCUCCUUCUCCGCGCCGCGCCGUCGUCCUCGUCCGCGCGGCGUCGGCGUCGGCGGCGAAUAGCGCUCCCGCGGCGUCUCCCCCGCGCCGAGUAACGCUCGGUUCGCGCGCGUUCGCAUCGCCGCUCGGUACGCGCGCGUCGCCGCCGCCUCCACGGUUGCGUCCACCUUCGCGCGCGCGCGCGCCGCGCUCGCGCUCGUCGUCGCGGCGUCCGGCGCCGGCGCCUUCGUCCGCGUCGUCGCGCUCGCCGCGCGCGUCUUCACCGGCGUCGCGAAGAUCUCGCGCGAGGGCGACGUCACGACGAGCACCGCGUCCGUCGCGUCGUCGUCGUCCUCCUCCUCCUCCUCCGACUCCGCGUCGAAGAGACGCGUCGCUCGCGAUGUUGACGAGAACAGCAACGACGCCGCGGCGGCUUCCUUCUCCGCGGUCGCCUCGAGCGCGACGUGCUCGAACAUCUCCGCCGCGCUCGGUCGCGACGGCGGCGGCGACGGCGACGCGACGGGCGCGGCGUUCGCCGCGCGGCGCGCGCACGGCUGACAUCGCGUCUGAGCCGUGGUCGUCGUCGUGGCCAUCAUCACGGCGAGCUCGUGCCUCAGCG
rnacentral:lncRNA from 1 species